rnacentral:rRNA from 1 species
CUACGUGCCAGCAGCCGCGGUAAUACGUAGGUGGCAAGCGUUGUCCGGAAUUAUUGGGCGUAAAGCGCGCGCAGGCGGUUUCUUAAGUCCAUCUUAAAAGCGUGGGGCUCAACCCCAUGAGGGGAUGGAAACUGGGAAGCUGGAGUAUCGGAGAGGAAAGUGGAAUUCCUAGUGUAGCGGUGAAAUGCGUAGAGAUUAGGAAGAACACCGGUGGCGAAGGCGACUUUCUAGACGAAAACUGACGCUGAGGCGCGAAAGCCAGGGGAGCGAACGGGAUUAGAUACCCCGGUAGUCCUGGCCGUAAACGAUGGGUACUAGGUGUAGGAGGUAUCGACCCCUUCUGUGCCGGAGUUAACGCAAUAAGUACCCCGCCUGGGGAGUACGACCGCAAGGUUGAAACUCAAAGGAAUUGACGGGGGCCCGCACAAGCGGUGGAGUAUGUGGUUUAAUUCGACGCAACGCGAAGAACCUUACCAGGUCUUGACAU